rnacentral:lncRNA from 10 species
AUGUACAUAUACCUCUUUCAGGAUAUACACGUGAUAAAAGCACACAUUAAACCAUUGCCAGUUCAAACAACACUUCACAUGAAUUUGAAAGAAAGCCUAGACAAGAAGCAGAAUUGGAAGAGAAUAAUAAAAGCUAAAGUUUAUUGGGCACUUUCUCAUGCUCUAAGCCAUCAAAUAUCAGAGCUAGUACAACCAUCCAUUCUCAAGCAUGUACCAAGCCGUCACUGGAAUGUAAAAUAUUUAUUUUCAUGCAAAUGUGGGCAUAUAUCUGGAAACUUCUGGUUCCAACCUAAUGGGCCAGGCUUUGAAAAUAACUUCCUCAACGUGUUGAAGAAUGUGUUCUCCAUUUUUAUGGCCUUGCUUUACCUACUAUUAUAGUGAUUGUUGUACACCAUUACACUUUAAAUAUAUAUUUAUAUCUUUACACACUUUGCUCAUCAUAUGCACUUUAAAAAGAUGCUUCUAAGUAGAAUAAAAAGAUAUUUUCAUUUAUGACAAUUCCACUCUGUGAGGCAAAGAUGAGAGUUUGAAUUCUUAUGUUAAGAGUCUUAAACAAACUGUUUAACUUGCACUUAUUUCACGUAUUUUUCUUUAAAAUAAUUACUUUCUAGGCAGAAGUCAAUAUCUUUUACCUGUAACUUAAAGAAAUAAGACUUUCACUAGCACUACAAAGUUACGGCAUUGCUUUUUACUUAGAGCUUGUAGAUUUACUAGGCUGUUGGUUGAAAUGCCAAUGUAAAUUUAGAGUGUCACUUAGAAAAAUCAUUGUAUUUGCAAAACAAAUAGAUCCUCAAAAUCCUUAUUAUAUGACCAGCUUAAAAAGAAAUGGGGACUAAAAAAUCAGAUAUUUAAAAAAAUAGUUUUAGCUCUGAACCCACUGAGAUACUUAAACUCUAAGUCAAGUGCUUAGAUCAUAGGAAAAUAGUUCCAGACCAAUAAGUCUCAAGCUGUUCAGACACUUCCUGGGAUGAUUUUUUUUUCCUACCGGUAUGUAAAGAGAAACUUAAUUUUAAAAAGAAAGUUUAAGCAACAAGUUUCUACAGUACAUAGCAAGCCCUAUAUGUAUAAAUAACCUGCAAAGAUUUGAUGCCUGCUGAAUUCUAAUCUCACAUAUACAUUUAGAUUAGAUCUAAUUUACAAACAUAAAACAAGUUUACCAGAUUGCCAAGCAAAUUAAAAUGAGAAAAAGGAAACCAGCCACUUUUUUGCUCACAAGGAGACACAGAAUGAGAAUCUCAUUCUUACUCUGUUACUAAUAGAAAUUCUUAGUUUAUAGCCUUAAUGUUAAUCCAACUUUGGCCAUAUUUAUUUUAUUUUUAAUGUAUAUAUGUUUUCCAGAAAAAUUAAUUUGAUAAGUAUUUCCCUUUCUUUCCCAACUGAUUGGUCUAAAUUUCUGUUAUAAAACCAAACAGGCGGCUGGGCACGGUGGCUCACGCCUAUAAUCCCAGCACUUUGGGAGGCCAAGGUGGGCGGAUCGCCUGAGAUCGGGAGAUUGAGACCAGCCUGGCCAACAUGGUAAAACCCCAUCUCUACUAAACAUACAAAAAAAUUAGCCAGGCAUGGUGGCAGGCGCCUGUAAUCACAGUUACUCAGGAGGCUGAGGCAGGAGAAUCACUUGAACCCGAGAGGCAGAGGUUGCAGUGAGCUGAGUUUGGGCCAUUGCACUCCAGCCUGGGUGACCAGGGCGAGACUUCAUCUCAAAAAACAAAGACACAAACAAACAACAGCAACAACAACAAAAACACAGGCAUUUCUUAUACCAUUGUUGAGUUGAAUUUGUACGUGUCAUGAUAUCUCUUAUCAUUUGACUCUCUCACCCUAAAAUGCGAACUUUGGCCACUUCGUGAGCAUCUAUUCGUUCCAUCACUGGUUAUUAGCUUUGCACCGAGACUCAAUUUUUCUUUUUUUAAUUUAUACUUUAAGUUCUAGGGUACAUGUGCACAAUGUGCAGUUUUGUUACAUAGGUAUACAUGUGCCAUGUUGGUUUGCUGCACCUAUCAACUCUUCAUUUACAUUAGGUGUUUCUCCUAGUGCUAUCCCUCUCCUAGUCCCCCAACUCCAACAGGCCCUGGUGUGUGAUGUUCCUUGUCCUGUGUCCAUGUGUUCUCAUUGUUCAACUCCCACCUAUGAGUGAGAAUAUGUGGUGUUUGGUUUUCUGUCCUUGUGAUAGUUUGCUUAGAAUGAUGGUUUCCAGCUUCUUCCAUGUCCCUAGAAAGGACAUGAACUCAUCCCUUUUUACGGCUGCAUAGUAUUCCAUGGUGUAUAUGUGCCACAUUUUCUUAAUCCAGUCUAUCAUUGAUGAGCAUUUGGGUUGGUUCCAAGUCUUUGCUAUUGUGAAUAGUGCCACACUAAACAUACGUGUGCAUGUGUCUUUAUAGUAGCAUGAUUUAUUAUCCAUUGAGUACAUACCCAGUAAUGGGAUCACUGGGUCAAACGAUAUUUCUAGUUCUAGAUCUUUGAGGAAUUGCCACACUAUCUUCCACCUUCUGCAAUGGUUGAACUAAUUUACACUCCCACCAACAGUGUAAAAGUGUUCCCAUUUCUCCACAUCCUCUCCGGUAUCUGUUGUUUCCUGACUUUUUAAUGAUCGUCAUUCUAACUGGCGUGAGAUGGUAUCUCAUUGUGGUUUUGAUUUGCAUUUCUCUGAGGAGCAGUGAUGGUGAGCAUUUUUUUUAUAUGUCUGUUGGCUGCAUAGAUGACUUCGAGUCUCAAUUUUUCUAAAUAUAGUGCUGGGCAUUUUUCAUUUUUCUUAACGCAGAUCAACCUUUAUUGCCUUUGACUUUGUAUGUGCUGCCCUGGCCUUCUUUCCAUUUCAAGCCCAUUCCCUACAUGCAAAAGCGGGGGAAAAAAAAACAAUUUUUUUUUUUAAGGUACAGAAGUUAUGCUCUAUAUGAGAUAAUGGAUAAUUGUUCUCUCAUGAAUUCAGCCACAUUUUUGUUACCUCUCACCAAAGCUUCUUUUCAAAUACCCAGUGACUCAGAAAACCUCUCAUGAAAAUAGUUCCUCCCACUUAGUUUAUUGCAGAUGUUUUUUAACUUCUAUUUUCAGCUUGGGGAACACGUGCAGAUUUGUUAUACAGGUAAAUUGUGUGUCGCAGGAGUUUGAUAUAUAUAUUAUUUUGUCACUUAGGUGAUAAACAUAGUACCCAAUAAGUAGCUCCUACCACUUUGAAUGAACCAUCCAUCAAUCAGGCCUCCUCUGCCAUGAUUGCAUUCUUGCCACCAAUCUAGGAAAUAAAAGUUGUUGAUUGGCAGUCUUCUGUCAUGUAAUUUUUUUUUUAUUCUAUUUUUGAUACAGGGUCUCAUUCUGUCGGCCAGGCUGGAGUACAGUGGUACAAUCUCAGCUCACUGCAGCCUCUGCCUCCCAGAUUCAAGUGACUCUCCUGCCUCAGCCUCCUGAGUAGCUGAGAUUACAGGCCUGCGCCACCAUGCCAAACUGAUUUUUGUAUUUUUAGUAGAGACGGGGUUUCACCAUGUUGGCCAGGCUGGUCUCAAACUCCUGACCUCAGGUGAUCCACCUGCCUUGGCCUCCCAAAGUGCUGGGAAUACAGGCGUGGGCCACUGAG